rnacentral:rRNA from 1 species
AGGGUUUGAUCCUGGCUCAGGAUGAACGCCGGCUGUGUGCCUAAUACAUGCAUGUCGAGCGAGGUUAGCAAUAACCUAGCGGCGAAUGGGUGAGUAACACGUGCUUAAUCUACCUUUUAGAUUGGAAUACCCAUUGGAAACAAUGGCUAAUGCCGGAUACGCAUGGAACCGCAUGGUUCCGUUGUGAAAGGCGCUGCAAGGCGCCACUAAAAGAUGAGGGUGCGGAACAUUAGUUAGUUGGUGAGGUAAUGGCCCACCAAGACUAUGAUGUUUAGCCGGGUCGAGAGACUGAACGGCCACAUUGGGACUGAGAUACGGCCCAA